GUUUUACUUUUCUCUGUUGUUCCUGGUCUAAAUAGUUGCAAGGCUGUCGCCGCUGUGGGUGUGCAAUUUGUGUUGCUGUGUUUCUGUGGAGUCCUAGCCACGGCUCGCUUCUAGUGUGGCCAAGGGUCAAGGUAGGGCUUUCAGCUUAAAGCUUCAGAAGCGCUGCGCGCUGAGAUGGGUGUAGGUGACACUGCUGUUGCGCCUGCAGCUGUGCUCGCAGGGAUGCUGGGCGGCUCCGCAUCAGACCGGCGAGGUGCGCGUGGACCUCCGUCGGGCUGCGCCCUGGGUGCGCGAGCGUGCCGUGUGUUUGCUGUUCCGGCUUGUACGUGCGAGGGCUUAACGUUUGAUUUAACGCAUUUCCUUUAACGGCAGGCUGUAGUUGGGCUCUAGACGGUAUUCCUACGUGGGCGCAAGAGCUGUGGAAUGGUUAAGCUGUUGCUGUGCCUCCAGGUGACUUGUUCAGUAACACUGUUUUUCCAGGUGCAGAUGGAUGAGUCGUGCAGGGCAACGGAGGAGAGCCCAGGGGAGCGCUGUAAGAAGGUGACAGCCCUGCGAUGCUGCGGUGCCUGCGAGGUGAUGCCGCCGUGCUCGUUGCUGCUUCCUGGUAAGGAAAGGCCUCCUCCGCUCCUGCUGCAGCGUGGUGGUGUGUCGGACACGAUUCCCUGUGUCGGGUGAGGCCUAGGGCUGCCGGUGAGAGACCGUGCUGAGGACGUGGUUGUCUGUCCUUCCCCCGGGGAUGCCGUUGACUGCGGCCGUCUCAGGCUUGCGUGGCUUCUCUCUGCCCGGCGUUGCCAUCCUCGCAGCGCGGGGGCGAAAAGGGACACACAGAGCCCUUCCCGGCUGUGGACAGGAGCUGCCUCGGCUGAAGCUGGAGACGCCAACGAAAGGUAAAGCAGAAGAAACUGAAGGCGCUCUGGCUGCCAGCUGCCUUCCUGCCGCAGGCAAGAGAGAGCCUGUCCCUGCAGGUGAGGGAGGGAGGAUCCCCCUUCGUAGCCCGCAGCGGGCCAGGCCACCAACGUGCACCGCAGGGUCUGU